AGUGAACGCUGGCGGUAGGCCUAACACAUGCAAGUCGAACGGCAGCACAGUAAGAGCUUGCUCUUACGGGUGGCGAGUGGCGGACGGGUGAGGAAUACAUCGGAAUCUACUUUUUCGUGGGGGAUAACGUAGGGAAACUUACGCUAAUACCGCAUACGACCUACGGGUGAAAGCAGGGGAUCUUCGGACCUUGCGCGAUUGAAUGAGCCGAUGUCGGAUUAGCUAGUUGGCGGGGUAAAGGCCCACCAAGGCGACGAUCCGUAGCUGGUCUGAGAGGAUGAACAGCCACACUGGAACUGAGACACGGUCCAGACUCCGACGGGAGGCAGCAGUGGGGAAUAUUGGACAAUGGGCGCAAGCCUGAUCCAGCCAUACCGCGUGAGUGAAGAAGGCCUUCGGGUUGUAAAGCCCUUUUGUUGGGAAAGAAAAGCAGCAGGUUAAUACCCCGCUGUUCUGACGGUACCCAAAGAAUAAGCACCGGCUAACUUCGUG
rnacentral:rRNA from 1 species